AAUAAAGUGCCUGAUAAAAGGGUUAUUUUGAUAGAAUAAUAUAUGUAUAUGUUUGUUUUAUAUCUUUAUUA
rnacentral:tRNA from 1 species